rnacentral:rRNA from 1 species
AGCAGCCGCGGUAAUUCCAGCUCCAAUAGCGUAUAUUAAAGUUGUUGCAGUUAAAAAGCUCGUAGUUGAAUUUCGGGAUUAGUAAGUUGGUCGUGCCUCUGGUAUGUACUGGCUUUACUGGUUCCUCCUUCUUGAAGAACUGUAAUGUCAUUAAUUUGGUGUUGCAGGGAAACAGGACUGUUACUUUGAAAAAAUUAGAGUGUUUAAAGCAGGCUAACGCUUGAAUACAUUAGCAUGGAAUAAUGAAAUAGGACGUUUGAUCCUAUUUUGUUGGUUUCUAGGAUUGACGUAAUGAUUAAUAGGGAUAGUUGGGGGCAUUAGUAUUCAAUUGUCAGAGGUGAAAUUCUUGGAUUUAUUGAAGACUAACUACUGCGAAAGCAUUUGCCAAGGAUGUUUUCAUUAAUCAAGAACGAAAGUUAGGGGAUCGAAGACGAUCAGAUACCGUCGUAGUCUUAACCAUAAACUAUGCCGACUAGGGAUCGGAUGAUGUUAAUUUUUUUAAUGACUCA